ensembl:snoRNA SNORD116 Small nucleolar RNA SNORD116
AGAUCAAUGAUGACGCCAAAAAUGCAUUCCUUGAAAAGCGGAACAAAAUGAGUGAGAACCCAUACCGUCGUUGUUCUCAUCAGUAACUGAAGUCC